CCUACGGGUGGCAGCAGUGAGGAAUAUUGGUCAAUGGACGAGAGUCUGAACCAGCCAAGUAGCGUGAAGGAUGAAUGCCCUAUGGGUUGUAAACUUCUUUUAUAUGGGAAUAAAACGUUCCACGUGUGGGAUUUUGUAUGUACCAUAUGAAUAAGGAUCGGCUAACUCCGUGCCAGCAGCCGCGGUAAUACGGAGGAUCCGAGCGUUAUCCGGAUUUAUUGGGUUUAAAGGGAGCGUAGGUGGAUUGUUAAGUCAGUUGUGAAAGUUUGCGGCUCAACCGUAAAAUUGCAGUUGAAACUGGCAGUCUUGAGUACAGUAGAGGUGGGCGGAAUUCGUGGUGUAGCGGUGAAAUGCUUAGAUAUCACGAAGAACUCCGAUUGCGAAGGCAGUUCACUGGACUGCAACUGACACUGAGGCUCGAAAGUGUGGGUAUCAAACAGGAUUAGAUACCCCUGUAGUC
rnacentral:rRNA from 1 species